CUUCAAGAAGGGGUUGGAUGGCUUUUUAGCAAGUGAGGGAAUACAGGGUUGUGGAGGAUAGCUAGCUGUUACUAUGAAUGGCUUGGGCAGAGCUCCCAGCUUUAUCAUUAAUAUUUUUUCCACCACAAUUCCAAUAAAAACCCAUAUUCCCAAAUUAGAUUAGGUAGAGCUGGAGUGCACUAUAGAGAAGGAGUCAAUUAGCAUUUUUGAGAGGCAUAUUCAGAGCAACCUGUCAUUGAUUCUUAUUGAUUCAUUAUUAAUUUAUAGGUUUUCUCUUAUUAAUAUUAGCAUUAAUAUUCAUUAAUAAUUAAAACAAGGAACUAUACUAUAUGUGAACAUGAGCAAAUUUAAAGUUUAAACUUAAAUUUAGCAUUGUAAACACAAGAUGGCAGCACUGAACCUAAGUUUCUAUCCAUAACAUGGCUUGAAACCCGCAGUAAAGAAUUCCGUGUAAGAUGAAACAACAAUAGUUACAACAAUGUGAAUUAUGUGCUAUAUAUGAAAUUGCCACCCCUAUUUCUUCAUUACAAAUAGUUGCACUGAACUCUAAGGUUAAGCUAUUUGCCAGUGGCUUCUAUAUGAGGUACGGGCAAGUUUCAUAGAUCCAGCAUUGUUAUUGUUAUGUAGCAGCCAAAGCUCUAAGGCUACUUAUCCCCAUAUUAAAGUGGAACAUUGGGCUACUACUUUUACUUACACUGCCCAAACUCCAGCCUGAAAAGGACUGGGAGCACACACACUGCUUAAAGGCAGAUUCACCUGCUCCAAGUUAGGAGCACAGCCACACAACCUUUCAGUAAUCAUAUACUGAGAUGUAACUUCAUUUAUGUGUUAAAUAUAAAAAUAUAUAUAUAUAUAAAUAUAAUAUCAAUUUGACCAUGAACAGCAUUAGUUAUUCUCUUUCUUCAACAGAUAUUGUCUUUCAAAGGGAAACAGUUCUGAUAGGUUGAUGAGAGAACAUGUGCUUAGGCACGUGUAUAGGAUGACUCUAACAGAAAGAGUUUCAGCCAGAAGGCUAGUGUAAAUGUGCAUAUCAGUUAUAUCACAAUGUGGCUAGGUAAUCUCAUAUCACUUGCCAUCCUCUGUGCAUUCUCAGGGUUAUUAAAAGGGGAUUCUAUUGACCAGCAACCUGAUGAUAUUGGCACAGAGAAUGAAAUGAAGACUCUCACUUGUACCUACAGUACUGCAAGUGCCAACCCCUGUCUCUAUUGGUAUAAACAAUAUCCUUACAGUGCUUUGGAGUAUAUCCUGCGCCAAUCCAGCUCUUCCACUGCCUGCUCUAGCCAAGUGUCAAAUAAUGACCAAAGAUUCAGUUCAAAUGCAACCAGUUCUACUGCUGUGUUAACCAUUAUGAGCCUGGCACUGACAGACACUGCCGUAUAUUAUUGUGUACUGGGUGAUUCUCACACUGACAAAAUCGAUCCCAGGCGUGUACAGAAACAUUCCUUGUAACCAGGAUGUGGGGUUGACUACAAAGCAUUUAGUCAUAUCUUUUUGUCAGUAGGAGGGGAUUGUGGUUUUAACCAUUAGUUAGAAGUAAAAAAUACAGGAACCAAACAGAAAUAUAACAGAAUAUACUUUAAUCCAAAAGUCAUGAAAGUAAAUGAAAAUUGGAUGUGAACAAGAGGUACAGUAUGGAUCAGAUUCUUAAUUUUCAGUUAGAUUAUUACCUGGGAUAUAGCCUGAGUAUAAUAGAAAGCAGCACGCUUUCAAAAGAACAGUUUAGUGUAAAAAUGAAACUGGGUAAAAUAGGUUUUCAAGUACGGUAGUUAGACAAAAAUGUAAUCUAUGAAGGCUGGGGUAAAAGGUUGUUUAACAUAAUAGCCAGAACACUACUUCCUACUGUACAGCUCUCUAAACUGUCUAAGCUGUUAGUAACCAAUCAGUGACUUGAGGGGGGCCAUAUGGGACAUACAUUUUCAGUUAGUUUGCUUUUGAAUCUG